AUUGAACGCUGGCGGCAGGCCUAACACAUGCAAGUCGAACGGUAACAGGAAGCAGCUUGCUGCUUCGCUGACGAGUGGCGGACGGGUGAGUAAUGUCUGGGAAACUGCCUGAUGGAGGGGGAUAACUACUGGAAACGGUAGCUAAUACCGCAUAACGUCGCAAGACCAAAGAGGGGGACCUUAGGGCCUCUUGCCAUCGGAUGUGUCCAGAUGGGAUUAGCUAGUAGGUGGGGUAACGGCUCACCUAGGCGACGAUCCCUAGCUGGUCUGAGAGGAUGACCAGCCACACUGGAACUGAGACACGGUCCAGACUCCUACGGGAGGCAGCAGUGGGGAAUAUUGCACAAUGGGCGCAAGCCUGAUGCAGCCAUGCCGCGUGUAUGAAGAAGGCCUUCGGGUUGUAAAGUACUUUCAGCGGGGAGGAAGGGAGUAAAGUUAAUACCUUUGCUCAUUGACGUUACCCGCAGAAGAAGCACCGGCUAACUCCGUG
rnacentral:rRNA from 1 species